GGAUUUAAUUAACCUCGCCUUCAAGGUGUACAAUAACAGAAAAAAGUUGCAAUUCCUUGCCUCCACUGUGAGACAAACCCCAGCCACAUCUCCAGCACACAAGAACUUCCAAACGCCUGAACCGCAGCGGCCAGGCGUUCCUCCAGAACCUCCUCCCCCAGGAGCUUGCUACACGUGCCGGAAAUCUGGCCACCAGGCCAAGGACUGCCCGCAGCCCAGGAUUCCUCCUAAGCCACGUCCCAUCUGUGUGGGACCCCACUGGAAAUUGGACUGUUCAACUCUCCUGGCAGCCACUCCCAGAGCCCCUGGAACUCUGGCCCAAGGCUCUCUGACUGACUCCUUCCCAGAUCUUCUCGGCUUAGCAGCUGAAGACUGACACUGCCCGAUCGCCUCGGAAGCCCCCUAGACCAUCACGGACGCCGAGCUUCGGGUAACUCUCACAGUGGAAGAGACCUUGAAGAUUUGUUGUUCAAGGAGAAACUGAAGAGCAAGAAGGAAAGUGAGAGCCAGCAAUACCAGCAGAGCCAGAUCUGAGCUGGGAGAAGGGGAGAAAGUUUGUGAAGAGGAGAUCGGUGACCUGGGCUCCUUAUGUGCCUGAAAGAGUGAGUUUCCUGUUAACUCCAAAUCAACAGUAUUUUCAACAAGAAAUGUGCAAUUGAAAUCAAGUGCUGUUUAAGUGCAGCUAGGAUUUCCACAGGAAGACACUGGUAGUGAACAGAGUUAUGGAGCAGCAAAAACACAGAUCUAUUUGGAAAAAGAGAAAACAUAUGCGUUGUAUUUUGCUUCAAUUAUAAAAUACCAUCCUCUCAAAGGUGGUUCUAAAUUACAAAGGACUUUGAUUUCUAG
rnacentral:lncRNA from 1 species